ACAAAGGCUCUUUUCAGAGCCAUCACUGUUUCAGAGAAAGAGUUG
rfam:Mesocricetus auratus contig023764, whole genome shotgun sequence.